GACAGAGGCCCCGAGCGUUAGGCGGAAUCACUGGGCUUAAAGCGUGUGUAGGCGGACCGGUAAGUACCUUGUGAAAUCCCACGGCUCACCCGUGGAACUGCUGGGUAUACUGCCGGUCUCGGGCCAACUAGGGGCAACUGGAACAAGCGGUGGAGCGGUGAAAUGCGUAGAUAUCGGAAGGAACACCAGUGGCGAAAGCGGCUUCCUGGUCCAGCACCGACGUUCAGGCACGAAAGCGUGGGGAGCAAACAGG
rnacentral:rRNA from 1 species